GGCUUUGUUGAGAGUGAGGGAUACUGGCCUUGCUGUCCCCUGCCCCCACAGGUAAUGCCAGGCCCAGAUGUCCGUCACACAAUUCUUCUGUACCUGUCACUUCAACUUGUGCAACUCCUGGGGGCCAGAAGAGCCCCUCUGCACAAGCCUCAGCAGCUGCACAGUUGCCUGCCCUGCUUCUGGUGCCCCCGUUAGUGUCUGGGCUUGGCAUGGUCCCAACAUGUGCUUGGAGUGCAGGGCCCAAGCAGCCAGGCCCCCUGACUCCCUACCUCUCGCUCUCCGGCCCCCACCCCCUCCUAGGGUACCCAGGCACCAGGGCACUCGCCCCCUCUUCUCUCUCUGCCCCUCCCCGCCAAGUUUUCACCUGCCCGGCCAACAGCAACUACAACACUUAUGGUUCCCACUGCCCCACCUCUUGCUCUGCAGCCUCCCCGGGGGGCUGUGCUGAGGGCUGCGUCUGCCUGGCUAACCUCAUCUCCAGUGGAACCGACUGCAUCCUGGCCUCAGCUUACAGCUGCCUUGGCCCAGCAGCACCUACCACCCGGUGAGCUGGCAGGGGCAUGGUGGGGUAGAAAGGGGCCUGGAUGCACCCAGGUGUGGGGUAGGGCACAGCUGCAGUUAGCACAGCCCCAUUGCAGCCAGCUAUGGAGUAGGGCAACACCAAGUGCAGCAGGGAGCUGAGAUGCAACUGCCUCUGGCCUGGGGAGAGUGGCUGAGUAUAACAAGUCGUCCUGGACCCAGAGUGGGAUCUGCAUGAGUGUUUCUGCAUGUUCCUUCCUGUUUUCCCAUUCAUCCCCCACUGACAGGUGGGAGACGCCCAAUUUGAGGAGGAGUGCUUUGAGUGCUGCACGUGCCGUGGCCCUGGGGACCUGACAUGUGAGCGCAGCCACAGCCCGCCUUCAAGAACUGUUGGUUCCAGGACAGCAAGAAGGACUGCCAGCCCCUUGAGCCUGCCUUCAGAUGAAAGAAGCCAGAAAGCUCUUGACCAAAGGCUGGAGGUACAAUGCGUGUUGUUCAUGCUCUGUGUGUCAACUUGGAGCAGAAAGUGAAAGCUACCCUUCACCAGCGAAAGCUAGCAGCAGAGGCAUAAUGCCCAUGGGUCCCUACUCCGUUCUAAUCAGCCCUAACAUUAAGGUUAUACACAGUUAAUUCAAACCUCUUCUGUAAAGCUCAGAAUCUGCACUGCCCUCAGUUAUCCAUCACCACCAAUUCCAAGCAGUCCCAUCUACCUGAGCACCAAGGCUGCACUAACCUACACAGCCCAUGCUGUCGCAUCAGCUAGUCCCACUAAACAUACACCACCCUACCUCCUAGCAGCAGCCAUCCAAGCUGACUACUAUUCAACCCCCUGCCCUGUAGCCGUCAAAGCCCAACACCCUGCCCUCUCCAAGCCUCCACACUAUAUGCAACCAAGCUAAUGCCACCAUACCCUUCACCCUCUAAAUGAAGCUCCUGAAUGUCCCCAAGCUUCUACCAACUACAGCCUCAUGAAAAGGCCAGUCUCUACCCAAAGUACAAAAAGAAAGAAGAGGGGGAAAAAGAAGCCAGGACUGAAAUAAAGACAGGAGCAAGGACUGUACAGUAGAGGCAGAAUAGGAGGCGAGGCAGGAGGGGGGAAAUCAGGACAGGGAAGAAGACUGUUCAUGAGGCUGACUGGCACAUAGUGCACCAAGGGGGGUCCCCAAGCAGGGCCAGGGGACAACAGCCCUGGGGCAGAGACAGUAGAGCAGUAGAUGGGGAGCAAGGAGGAACAGGGAUGA